GGUGAGAGAACUGGACAAAAGGACAGGUGGGAGAACUGGACAAACGGACAGGUGGGAGAACUGGACAAACGGACAGGUGGGAGAACUGGACAAACGGACAGGUGGGAGAACUGGACAAACGGACAGGUGGGAGAACUGGACAAACGGACAGGUGGGAGAACUGGACAAACGGACAGGUGGGAGAACUGGACAAACGGACAGGUGGGAGAACUGGACAAACGGACAGGUGGGAGAACUGGACAAACGGACAGGUGCACCACACCCACCUUUCGAACGGAAACGCAAAAUGUGGAUACUGCAUACUUGCUUUAAGUUUAUUGCUAGACAGUUUGUGCUACGUAACUCCACAGGAUCACCAUCUUGUGGAGCUGUAUUUAGUUGUAGUGUUGCGUACUGGGUAGGGGUUAGAGGUCGACCGAUAAUGAUUUUUCAACGCCGAUACCGAUUAUUGGAGGACAAAAAAAUCUGAUACCGA